CUACGGGGCGCACCAGUGGGGAAUAUUGGACAAUGGGGGAAACCCUGAUCCAGCAAUGCCGCGUGUGUGAAGAAGGCCUGCGGGUUGUAAAGCACUUUCGGUUGGGAGGACUGCUUCUAGCACUAAUAUUGUUGGAAGUUGACGUUACCUUCAGAAGAAGCACCGGCUAACUCCGUGCCAGCAGCCGCGGUAAUACGGAGGGUGCAGGGCGUUAAUCGGAAUUACUGGGCGUAAAGCGCGCGUAGGCGGCUAGAUCAGUCGGGUGUGAAAGCCCCGGGCGUAACCUGGGAACUGCAUCCGAUGCUGUCUAGCUUGAGUACAGGAGAGGAGAGGGGAAGUCCACAUGUAGCGGUGAAAUGCGUAGAUAUGUGGAGGAACACCAAUGGCGAAGGCAGCUCUCUGGCCUGAUACUGACGCUGAGGUGCGAAAGCGUGGGGAGCAAACAGGAUUAGAUACCCCCGUAGUC
rnacentral:rRNA from 1 species